AUUGAACGCUGGCGGUAUGCUUAACACAUGCAAGUCGAACGGUAACAGGCCUUCGGGCGCUGACGAGUGGCGGACGGGUGAGUAACGCGUAGGAAUCUGCCUCAUAGUGGGGGACAACGUGGGGAAACUCACGCUAAUACCGCAUACGCCCUACGGGGAAAGCGGGGAGUCUUCGGACCUCGCGCUAUGAGAUGAGCCUGCGUUAGAUUAGCUAGUUGGUAGGGUAAAGGCCUACCAAGGCGACGAUCUAUAGCUGGUCUGAGAGGACGAUCAGCCACACUGGGACUGAGACACGGCCCAGACUCCCUACGGGAGGCAGCAGUGGGGAAUAUUGGACAAUGGGCGCAACGCCUGAUCCAGCAAUACCGCGUGUGUGAAGAAGGCCUUAGGGUUGUAAAGCAC
rnacentral:rRNA from 1 species